rnacentral:tRNA from 1 species
GGAGGUAUAGCUCAGUGGCCGAGUGUGAGCCUAGCAUGUGCAAGGUCCUGGGUUCAAUCCCCAGUACCUGCA